GACGCAGCUUCUUCUUCAAAAUCUUCUCCAUCCUCUCCUUUGUUUUCUCAGAUAAAAUCGAUCACAAUAUUCGCAGUUAUGAGAUUGAGGAAAGUUAAAAGUUGAUUUUCCUUUAAAUCUAGCGAAGAUGGUGAAGGAAUAAAACCCUAAAUCAAUUUUUGUUGUCAUGCUUUUGUUGCUGUUAAUUGAGAGAUGAUUUCGCGAGCAACUUUGUUAUACUUCAUUAGCUUAAAUUUCAAUUUCGAUUAAGAAUCCUAAGUAAAUCUUCUUUAAAUUUUAAUUUCAGUUGUAAACCCUAACCUUUUUUUUUUUUUUUAAUUUCAGACACCUCCAGAUUCAGAUAUAUAGGGCUUCUGAAUAAGACCUUCAGGGAAACUAAUAACUGGUUGUUUGUGAUUUUAAUUUUACUCACCUCUCGGUUUCAAUCUCAAUUCUACACCAUUUUUUGAUUUUGAAUCUGUGCGUGUGGAUCUAAUAACUGGUUGUUUGUGAAUUGUGCUGGAAAACUUAGAGGAGAACUCACAAGAGAAGAAGCCUUGAGGUAGAUUUCACAAGAGGAUGCAAUACAACAGAUGUUUCGUUACUGCUGUAAUAGCAGCAAUGAGCGCCCAUGAGUACCGAUUUGAGGUGAAACAAGAGGAGAAGUUUGGUUCUUUUGGAGCCUCAUGAGGCCUGUGGAAUAUAUAAGAACAUGAAAACUUAAUGGAAAAUAAAUCACUAAGCACCCCAUGACACAAACGGAAUGUGUCUUGCUGAUGAACCCAAUGGGUUAAAUGGUAAAGAAUGGAAGGAUCUUCUGUAAUUUUGGACUACUUACCAUCAGCAACGUCAAAAUAAGAAGCCAUGAAAAGGCCAAGCAUACAAUGGGACAAAAAACUUUUCUCGAUGC